GCCGGGAUGCUGGAAUUGGUAGACAGCUAUGGCUUAGGACCAUAGGCACUUUAUGUGCGUGUGGGUUCGAGUCCCACUCCCGGCA
rnacentral:tRNA from 1 species